rnacentral:tRNA from 1 species
GCUGGCGUAGCUCAGUUGGUAGAGCAGCGGUUUCGUAAACCGCAGGUCAGGGGUUCGAAUCCCUUCGCCAGCUCCA